GAUGAACGCUGGCUACAGGCUUAACACAUGCAAGUCGAGGGGAAACGACGGGGAAGCCUGCUUCCCCGGGCGUCGACCGGCGCACGGGUGAGUAACGCGUAUCCAACCUGCCUCUGACUGAGGGAUAACCCGUCGAAAGUCGGCCUAAUACCUCAUGGCAUCGUCUGCGGGCAUCCAACGACGAUUAAAGAUUUCAUCGGUCAGGGAGGGGGAUGCGUCUGAUUAGCUUGUUGGCGGGGUAACGGCCCACCAAGGCUACGAUCAGUAGGGGUUCUGAGAGGAAGGUCCCCCACAUUGGAACUGGGACACGGUCCAAACUCCUACGGGAGGCAGCAGUGAGGAAUAUUGGUCAAUGGGCGGGAGCCUGAACCAGCCAAGUAGCGUGCAGGAUGACGGCCCUAUGGGUUGUAAACUGCUUUUAUGCGGGGAUAAAGUGAGGGACGUGUCCUUCAUUGCAGGUACCGCAUGAAUAAGGACCGGCUAAUUCCGUG
rnacentral:rRNA from 1 species